UCAUAGAUAUCAUCCAAAUAUAAAAUUUUUGUGAGUUUCGAGUCAAUAAAAUAUUAAAUUCUAUCGAAUUCAUAAAGUUACUGCUUAUGUCACUCUAUAUAGUUGAUUUCUUGGAAGAUGUUUUAGGGUUUGUGUUUUUAUUCUUUCCUAUAAAAGGAGUUGUGUCUCUGAUUUUAGAUCUGACUAAUUUCUUGGGUUUGUGUGAAGCAAAGAGAGAGGAAGGAGGGGGGACAGAGAGAAUCAAGACUGACAGAAGAGAGUGAGCACACGCAGUCGAAUUGUAUAAACAUUUAUACAAUUGUCAUUUGCGUGUGCUCACUUCUCAUUCUGUCAGCUCUCUCAGAAUUUAAGUUUCUCCUCUUUCUUUCUUUUUUCGUUUCCACCACCUACAUGAGAUGUUGAAAGGGUUCAAAUAAAUCUCGUUUUAAAAAUUUAUAUAUAGCAAACGUUGAAUUCUCUUUGAUGUUAUCUGCCACUCAUAGCUACUACUUCCAUCACUUAUAGCUAUUCUUUAAAAGUUAUGUUUCUUUCUUUCUUAUCUUGUGAUAGAUGUUUGAAGAAAAAAGUUAUACUAGUAUAUCUAAGCUAUAGACUGAUGGACAUGACAUUUCAGCACACCCACAAUAAAAUUAAACAUAGUAGAUAUGUUUUUGUUUCAUUGUUCUUUUCUUUCGGAAGCAAAUUCACAAUUUGAAGUUUAUAGAUUUCUGCAACAACCUCAAGCUAUCACUACAAAGUGACCGCAUUCAUAGUUAAAUAUUUAGUAAACUUCUUUUUUUAUAUAUACGAACAAAAUUUACUGAAUUCAUGUGAAUCUGUAUAUGAAAUUCUCUAGUAUGUAUAUUUGUUGUUGGUGGUGGUUUUGGUGAUUAGACAGAAAAGAGGAUGAAGUUUAUCAUAAGAUGAGGUAAGAGUAUGAGACUAUGAGGUUUAGGGGUUUUACUCUUUUUUUUUUAUUGUAAAUAAAUAUAUCUCAUAAUUAUGUAAUUAAAUAUUGUACUAAGCAUGUCUUUUCAUGUACUUGUUAGAGGACAAUUGUAGAUUUGGAAGGUACAUCUCUUCCUAUUCUGUCUUUUUUUUUUGUACAAAUCUGGUAAAUUUUUUGCAAAAAUUUAGAAAUCAAUCACUAUUCUAGAUAUCUAACAACUUUUUUAUCAUGUACUAUUAACUUCAUUGAUCUAUUUGUUGAUUUUGUUCUUAAAAAUUCUUGAUUUGUUUUGCUUCUAGGAAUCCCACAUAGGUGGUUUAUUGGACUAGUUUAUUUAACAGGGUGUCAGAGUCAGGUUCAUAUGUUGGGCCCUGAGAUAGAUUGUUCACGCAUCCAGUACCGGACACACGAAUCAUGUCGGGGCGUGCUUGAGUGAUGAAUGAAUGAAGGAAUCCCUAAUUUUCUCAGCAGAAUCACAAGGUGAAGUAUAGACAUGUCGAGCAUUUCAUAUUAACGCGAUAUGAAGAAAGGCUUUAUGGAUUAACAUAUUAUCUGACCUUGUGUUGUCAAAACAUUGAUGUGUGUUGCCAAUUUUCCAUCAGUCAGCUAAAUGUCACCCCUAGAAUAGCUAGCUUGUUGGAGGCUUCUAUACAAAUCCUUGGUAUUGUUAAGAAAAUGAUAUCACGUACGGAUCUAAUACAACUACAAAGAUAGCUCAUGAGUUGAUUAUCUUAUAAGAUCAUAUAACGAGACAACAACUCACAACUCAUGGAUAAUUGGAGAGUAGUUAGUUCUAAUGUGGCGUGAACAUUGAGCAACACAACAACGUAACAUCGAUGGAUAUGUUGCCUUAGGAACCAUUUAUCUGAUGAGUUGACACAUGAAUUUUGAGUGCAACAUCUACAUCCAGUUUUUACCAGGGCUAGCUUGGGAUGAUCAAAUGCUCAAGUAAAGGGAUAUAAUUCAUUGCGCGUUGAUUCAAUUAUGACAAGGGCUCAUUCGGGGGUGGUGCUCCCAAGAGGAUUUUCUCUAUACCCCGGGCUUGAACCCGGCCGAGACCUCUAGUUAAUAUGGGAGACUGGGAGUUUCGAUUUUGGCUUGGAAGAUGUUCUUUUUCCCACUUCACCCGAUCAAUUGUGUUCUUACUUAAACUUCAACGUGAUUCAAUAGUUGGAGGUGCUCAAUCCCUAAAGCACACCACACUCGUAUUGGCUUGGACGAUUGAAGAUAAUAAUUACCAACAUUUGAACACAAGAAAGUACUCCAUCCGUCUCUAAAUAAGUGUCAUCUAAUUAACUAGGAAAGAAAAAGUCCCAGGUUCCAGAUCCUAGGAGUCAAUAAGCAUUUGGUACGUGUAUUCAUGAGUGCUGUUUUUGGCCUUGGAGGAUUAGGAUCAAAUGAAACGUUUCAUUUUCUUUUUCUUGCUAA